CGGCCGUAGCAAUACGGCAGCGGCAGACGGGAUAGUAACACGUGGGAACGUGCCCUUUGGUUCGGAAUAACUCGGCGAAAGCCGUGCUAAUACCGGAUAAGCCCUUACGGGGAAAGAUUUAUCGCCAUUGGAGCGGCCCGCGGUCUGAUUAGCUAGUUGGUGAGGUAAUGGCUCACCAAGGCGACGAUCAGUAGCUGGUCUGAGAGGAUGAUCAGCAUCACUGGGACUGAGACACGGCCCAGACUCCUACGGGAGGCAGCAGUGGGGAAUAUUGGACAAUGGGCGCAAGCCUGAUCCAGCCAUGCCGCGUGGAUGAUGAAGGCCUUAGGGUUGUAAAGUCCUUUUAACGGGGAAGAUAAUGACGGUACCCGUAGAAUAAGCCCCGGCUAACUUCGUGCCAGCAGCCGCGGUAAUACGAAGGGGGCUAGCGUUGCUCGGAAUUACUGGGCGUAAAGCGCACGUAGGCGGCUCUUUAAGUCGGGGGUGAAAUCCUGGAGCUCAACUCCAGAACUGCCUUCGAUACUGAAGAGCUCGAGUCCGGGAGAGGUG
rnacentral:rRNA from 1 species